rnacentral:rRNA from 1 species
GACGAACGCUGGCGGCGUGCUUAACACAUGCAAGUCGAACGGUGAAGCGCCUUCCUUUUUGGUGGGUGUGGAUGAGUGGCGAACGGGUGAGUAACACGUGAGUAACCUGCCCCCUUCUUCUGGAUAACCGCAUGAAAGUGUGGCUAAUACGGGAUAUUCUGGGUCUGUCGCAUGAUGGGUCUGGGAAAGAUAUUGUUUCGGUGGGGGAUGGGCUCGCGGCCUAUCAGCUUGUUGGUGGGGUGAUGGCCUACCAAGGCGGGGACGGGUAGCCGGCCUGAGAGGGUGGACGGUCACACUGGGACUGAGGCACGGCCCAGACUCCUACGGGAGGCAGCAGUGGGGAAUAUUGCACAAUGGGCGAAAGCCUGAUGCAGCGACGCCGCGUGAGGGAUGGAGGCCUUCGGGUUGUGAACCUCUUUCGCCAGUGAAGCAGGCCUGCCUCGUUUGUGGGUGGGUUGACGGUAGCUGGAUAAGAAGCGCCGGCUAACUACGUG